rnacentral:sRNA from 1 species
GCGAUGAGCUGAAUUGUGUAAGUCGAUGAACACGCUAUUUGAGCAAGGCAUGAAUGUGGUCAUGCUGUUCAUCGCCUCAAUACGCAAGAAGGCACCUACCUCAGGUGCC